AAUAGAUACCCUGGUAGUCCACGCCGUAAACGAUGAGUGCUAAGUGUUAGAGGGUUUCCGCCCUUUAGUGCUGCAGCUAACGCAUUAAGCACUCCGCCUGGGGAGUACGGUCGCAAGACUGAAACUCAAAGGAAUUGACGGGGGCCCGCACAAGCGGUGGAGCAUGUGGUUUAAUUCGAAGCAACGCGAAGAACCUUACCAGGUCUUGACAUCCUCUGACAACUCUAGAGAUAGAGUGUUCCCCUUCGGGGGACAGAGUGACAGGUGGUGCAUGGUUGUCGUCAACUCGUGUCGUGAGAUGUUGGGUUAAGUCCCGCAACGAGCGCAACCCUUGAUCUUAGUUGCCAGCAUUUAGUUGGGCACUCUAAGGUGACUGCCGGUGACAAACCGGAGGAAGGUGGGGAUGACGUCAAAUCAUCAUGCCCCUUAUGACCUGGGCUACACACGUGCUACAAUGGAUGGUACAAAGGGCUGCAAGACCGCGAGGUCAAGCCAAUCCCAUAAAACCAUUCUCAGUUCGGAUUGUAGG
rnacentral:rRNA from 1 species